rnacentral:lncRNA from 10 species
CUUCUUCCACCACAUGGCUGUGCUAGAGUUUCUGAGCCUAGCCUGGCUCAAAAGGCUCCCCAGUUCAUGGAUUGUUCAUUUCUCAACUAAACUCCUUUAAAUUUAAUUCAGCUGAAGUUUUGCUUUCAUCAGAUGGGGUCAGAAACAGGAUCUGAAGUAGAGCUUCUUCUAAUGACCCCCAGGGGUGCUGAGUGAUCAAGCAAGGUACCUGCAGGACCCAUUUGUGUCCAUUGAUCUCUUGGAGCAGCUGGGGAUCAUGAGAUGGAGUUUCGUUCUUGUUGCCCAGGCUGUAGUGCAAUGGCGUGAUCUCGGCUCACAGCAACCUCCGCCUCCCGGGUUCAAACAAUUCUCCUACCUCAGCCUCCUGAGUAGCUGGGAUUACAGGCAUGCGCCACCACACUCGGCUAAUUUUGCAUUCUUAUU